GCGUUUAUAGCUCAGUUGGUUAGAGCACCACCUUGACAUGGUGGGGGUCGUUGGUUCGAGUCCAUUAAACGCACCA
rnacentral:tRNA from 1 species